UUGAAAGGGAAACGAUUGAAGUCAGUCAUACCAACGGGAAAUCAACCUUUUGAGCUUGGUUUCGUGGGUUUUGAAGAGUUUCAAAGCCUUCGGAUUCGCGAGAUUGGGAUCUCUUGGUGUACUUUUUCGUACGGUUAGUCAACAUCGGUUUUGAAUGUCAUAAAAUGACUGGAGGAAUGUAGCUUCGAUCUCGUAUUGAAGUGUUAUAGCCUUUGGUAGAUGUGAUGUUUGAGACCGAGGAUUGCAACGGAUACCCUUCAGGGCUAUUCGUCUGAUCUCUGAUACGUUGCCUUGAUGUUGAAAGCUUGCUUAUGAUGUUAGGGUAUUACGGUCAAAAGGUUAGAACGAAUUACAUUCGUUAAGGAUGUUGACGUA
rnacentral:rRNA from 1 species